CCUACGGGAGGCAGCAGUGGGGAAUAUUGCACAAUGGGCGAAAGCCUGAUGCAGCAACGCCGCGUGAAGGAUGAAGGCCUUUGGGUCGUAAACUUCUGUCCUUGGGGAAGAAAAAAAUGACGGUACCCCUGGAGGAAGUCCCGGCUAACUACGUGCCAGCAGCCGCGGUAAUACGUAGGGGGCGAGCGUUAUCCGGAAUUAUUGGGCGUAAAGAGUACGUAGGUGGUUUUUUAAGCGCAGGGUUUAAGGCGAUGGCUCAACUGUCGUUCGCCCUGUGAACUGGAAGACUUGAGUACAGGAGAGGAAAGCGGAAUUCCUAGUGUAGCGGUGAAAUGCAUAGAUAUUAGGAGGAACACCAGUGGCGAAGGCGGCUUUCUGGACUGUAACUGACACUGAGGUACGAAAGCGUGGGGAGCAAACAGGCUUAGAUACCCCAGUAGUC
rnacentral:rRNA from 2 species